rnacentral:sRNA from 1 species
GCGGAUCGGGUUCGCGAGCCAUGGAGGAGGAGGCAUCGCCCCCGGGGCUGGGCUGCAGCAAGCCGCACCUGGAGAAGCUGACCCUGGGCAUCACGCGCAUCCUAGAAUCUUCCCCAGGUGUGACAGAGGUGACCAUCAUAGAAAAGCCUCCUGCUGAACGUCAUAUGAUUUCUUCCUGGGAACAAAAGAAUAACUGUGUGAUGCCUGAAGAUGUGAAGAACUUUUACCUGAUGACCAAUGGCUUCCACAUGACAUGGAGUGUGAAGCUGGAUGGUGAGUCAGCCUCCUUGCUGUAGGGGAACAUUUCCCUGGCUGAGAGAUUGAAUGGGACAACUCUGAGGGCCCUUUGACUUUUGAGUCUUUGAAUCUGGAUGGUUUUCAUGGGUGCCCCUCAAGUGCCAUGUCCAGAAGCUGUAAUUAUGUCCCAAAACUAACAGAUGCCAUCAUUGCUUCACCCACCACAAACCCCAUGACAGUCUAGCAGUAUGGAACUGGAAGUUCAAUUUAGAGGAUUCCUGUAGGGAUAGGGUAGAGAAAACCAUUAAUUACUACAUAAAAAACCCUAGCCACCUCAAACUUAAAGCC